GGUUUAGUGGUCAGAACAUUGGUGCGUAAAGCCAAAGGUCCCGGGUUCGAUUCCCGG
rnacentral:tRNA from 1 species